rnacentral:rRNA from 1 species
UACGUAGGGACCAAGCGUUGUUCGGAUUUACUGGGCGUAAAGGGCGCGUAGGCGGCGUGUUAAGUCAGCUGUGAAAUCUCCAAGCUUAACUUGGAACGGUCAGCUGAUACUGAUGUGCUAGAGUGCAGAAGGGGCAAUCGGAAUUCUUGGUGUAGCGGUGAAAUGCGUAGAUAUCAAGAGGAACACCGGUGGCGAAGGCGGGUCUCUGGGCCGAUACUGACGCUGAGGAGCGAAAGCGUGGGGAGCGAACAGG